AGAAAUUUAGGUUACACUAUCCCUAAACCAACAGCCUUCAAAGCUGUAAACACGAGUAAGAUCCUCGUAAUCUCUG
rnacentral:tRNA from 1 species